rnacentral:misc_RNA from 1 species
AGCAGCCGCGGUAAUUCCAGCUCCAAUAGCGUAUAUUAAAGUUGUUGCAGUUAAAAGCUCGUAGUUGAAUUUCGGGGUUAGUAGGUUGGUCAUGCCUCUGGUAUGUACUGGUCUCACUGAUUCCUCCUUCCUGAUGAACCUUAAUGCCAUUUAUUUGGUGUUUUGGGGAAUUUGGACUGUUACUUUGAAAAAUUAGAGUGUUUAAAGCAAGCUAACGCUUGAAUACAUUAGCAUGGAAUAAUGAAAUAGGACGUUCGAUCCUAUUUUGUUGGUUUCUAGGAUUGACGUAAUGAUUAAUAGGGAUAGUUGGGGGCAUUAGUAUUCAAUUGUCAGAGGUGAAAUUCUUGGAUUUAUUGAAGACUAACUACUGCGAAAGCAUUUGCCAAGGAUGUUUUCAUUAAUCAAGAACGAAAGUUAGGGAGUCGAAGACGAUCAGAUACCGUCGUAGUCUUAACCAUAAACUAUGCCGACUAGGGAUCGGAUGAUGUUAAUUUUUAAUGUACUCAUUCGGCGCCUUACG